CAGACGUCCUCUUCAGCUCCAAAUUCAGCUCAGUCAUACGGGAUGGAGCAGGACACAGUUCUUUAUCACGGCCCAAGUCCCUGUUGGUGUCUUCUCCCUCCACAAAGCUGCUCACACUGGAGGAGGCACAGGCACGGACACAAGGCCAGAUCAACUCCCCCAUGGUGACAGACAAUAGAUACAUUGAAGUGGGAGAAGGACCUGCAGCUUUACAAGGGAAAUUUCACACAGUCAUCGACUUUCCAUCAGAAAGAAAAAGACCGCCCAAUAAGAUGAAGAAAUCACCCGUUGGCAGUUGGCGUUCCUUCUUCAACCUGGGAAAGUCAUCCUCCGUGUCCAAACGCAAACUGCAGCGCAACCCCAGUGAGCCAUCGGAGAUGAAGGUCAUAGCCCUGGCAGGUAAGGCUGCAAAGCCAGCUUGUAAAAGACAGCAGCGUAGGAUUCAUGCUUUCAGUGUGCUUGGAUCUCCUUCUAGCGUUCAAGUCCAUGCAUAACAUCUUUAGUUAACCCAUCUUUUCUAAAUAGGUCUUGUGUUAACUCAGGAUCUGGACCUGUUACAGCACACCACCUUGUGCCUCCCCUCUGAGUAGCUUCUGAAGGACAAUAAAUGGGCACCUC
rnacentral:lncRNA from 7 species